GAAAAACCUUAAGCGUCCGGCACAAUGGAAACUCCCCCUAUACCUGAAUUUAAAAAAAUACAGGUUAGUGCUUGGUUUGUUAAAAACGAGAAAGGAUCACUCUGUUAAGGCAUUAAAAUUUGAAGGCGACAUUAAAACUUAUGAAGAUAUACGAGAAGGAGAAGAAACGAUAAGCGAG